rnacentral:lncRNA from 1 species
AUGUCGCUCCGGACCAUCGGUUACCUUCUCACCCGAAGCCGGAGGGGGUUCUCGCCACGCGGGAUCCCCCGUGCGCAGGCGGAGUCCUCGCUGGGUAUCCUCACUCGGGCGGGGAGGCCAGCAGCUCACUCUUUCCACUCCGUUCGUCUCUCAUCUCACCCGGUUCUCAAAUCGAAAAUCUUUUCUUUUGUUCACUCGCAGCUCAUAUGUCUCUUAUCUCGUUACGCGAUACAGAUGGGUUUCGCCGUUGCUGCCCAGGACGCCGGCAAGGAGCCUUACCUGAGCAAGGAAGCAGCAAUCGAGGCAGGGUUCGUGGACAAAGAUGGCAAGAUCCUGUGGUCUAGCUAUCUCAAUUACGUCGAACAUGGGAAGACUCUCCCGGACGAUGAGGCAUUUGCUAAGGAGGCGAGAGACUACCAAGAAGCCAUUAAGAAGCAGGAGGUGAAGGUCGAUGAGGCGACCAUGAAGGCCAGGUUCCAUGACUUGAUGAAGGAGUAUGGCCGUUCAUACAGCACUGAGGAGGAGAAGGCUCGCCGCUACGAAGUAUUCAAGGAGGCCACCCUGUGGGCAGACAAGGUUAACGCACUAGAGCCAAGGACGAUCCCUUAUGGCCCUAACGGAUAUGCAGACUUUACUGAUGAAGAGUUCAAGCGUAUGCAUUGCCAUUGUUCUGCCAUUGACUGGGAGAGAUACAUCGAUGAACUCAACACUAUGGCUGCUCGUGGGUGGACCUACUUUCGCGAUCCAGAUGCGACGACGAAUAGGGCAUAUCGAAAUUACAUCCAGCUGACGACGACGGCGCUCAGCUUCUUCCUAGGACGCCGGGAGGUAGGACGGCGGCAGCGGCAGGCCGACGACCUUGCCGCAGCGGAGGGCGUUCUCCGGCAU